GCGAAAGCGAGUCUUAAUAGGGCGUCGAGUUCGUGGGAUCAGACCCGAAACCGAGUGAUCUAGGCAUGACCAGGAUGAAGGUGCGGUAACACGCACUGGAGGACCGAACCCACGUCUGUUGAAAAAGACGGGGAUGACCUGUGGCUAGGGGUGAAAGGCCAAUCAAACUCGGAAAUAGCUGGUUCUCCGCGAAAUCUAUUUAGGUAGAGCGUCGACCGAAUACCCUCGGGGGUAGAGCACUGGAUGGGCUAGGGGGUCUCACCGACUUACCAAACCUAACCAAACUCCGAAUACCCAAGAGUACUAUCCGGGAGACAGACGGUGGGUGCUAACGUCCAUCGUCAAAAGGGAAACAACCCUAACCUACAGCUAAGGUCCCCAAGUCAUAGUUAAGUGGGAAAGCAUGUGGGAUUGCUUAGACAACCAGGAGGUUGGCUUAGAAGCAGCCAUCCUUUAAAGAAAGCGUAAUAGCUCACUAGUCGAGU
rnacentral:rRNA from 1 species